rnacentral:rRNA from 1 species
AACGAACGCUGGCGGCAUGCCUAACACAUGCAAGUCGAACGAGACCUUCGGGUCUAGUGGCGCACGGGUGCGUAACGCGUGGGAACCUGCCCUUAGGUUCGGAAUAACUCCCCGAAAGGGGUGCUAAUACCGGAUAAUGUCUUCGGACCAAAGAUUUAUCGCCUUUGGAUGGGCCCGCGUUGGAUUAGCUAGUUGGUAGGGUAAAAGCCUACCAAGGCGACGAUCCAUAGCUGGUCUGAGAGGAUGAUCAGCCACGCUGGGACUGAGGCACGGCCCAGACUCCUACGGGAGGCAGCAGUAGGGAAUAUUGGACAAUGGGCGAAAGCCUGAUCCAGCAAUGCCGCGUGAGUGAUGAAGGCCUUAGUGUUGUAAAGCUCUUUUACCCGGGAUGAUAAUGACAGUACCGGGAGAAUAAGCUCCGGCUAACUCCGUG